rnacentral:rRNA from 1 species
GACGAACGCUGGCGGCGUGCUUAACACAUGCAAGUCGAACGGAAAGGCCCUGCUUUUGUGGGGUGCUCGAGUGGCGAACGGGUGAGUAACACGUGAGUAACCUGCCCUUGACUUUGGGAUAACUUCAGGAAACUGGGGCUAAUACCGGAUAGGAGCUCCUGCUGCAUGGUGGGGGCUGGAAAGUUUCGGCGGUUGGGGAUGGACUCGCGGCUUAUCAGCUUGUUGGUGGGGUAGUGGCUUACCAAGGCUUUGACGGGUAGCCGGCCUGAGAGGGUGACCGGCCACAUUGGGACUGAGAUACAGCCCAGACUCCUACGGGAGGCAGCAGUGGGGAAUAUUGCACAAUGGGCGGAAGCCUGAUGCAGCAACGCCGCGUGCGGGAUGACGGCCUUCGGGUUGUAAACCGCUUUCGCCUGUGACGAAGCGUGAGUGACGGUAAUGGGUAAAGAAGCACCGGCUAACUACGUG